rnacentral:lncRNA from 1 species
AUGCGCCAAAGAAGACAAUAUAUAUAAUAACAGAGUGUAUAGAGAUAAAUGUCACAAUAACAUCAGAGUACUUAUUACAUAGCAGAAUUCUUACAAAAUAAAAGAUAAAUAUAGAUCGAACUAAAGUCCAUCCUUGGCGCCAUAAAGUCAACUGGGAGACGCCACCUAGAUCGAAUUGAACUCCUCGUUGUGUGGCUCCUCUUGAACCACAUGUUCUUCUCCUGUGGGGGGGUGUGAGACAGCAAGGGUGAGCUCACAUAUGUUCAUCGCUCAACAAGUUGUGGGGAAUAAUGUGGCAUGAACUCACCAAAGGUGGGAGUUCAUGUGACGUGUAAGGCUGAUCAACAAUAGGGGUUAAAGCUCUUAAUAAGUUGGUCAAAAUUUUAUUAGCAGUUACUAAAUAUAAGUGAAUACCAAAACAUAAUAAGAAUAAUAGAACAAAAUUAAUAAAUAAUCCCAUGCAAUGCAAAUGAUAAAUUGAAUUUAAGUUCCAUAAAUUAAUCAUGCGAGAGUCCUGAGCUGCUCAUGACCGUGAGCUCGACUAGUAUACCAGUUUUACACUCUGCAGAGGUUGUACCAUGUACCCACAAGUCGUGUAUCCCAUGUCGUCAGGGUUAGCUAGACCCUUAGACACUACCGAGGUGAAUGACUAGGGAUCCACUACAAGGCCUUUACAAAGUUCCACUAGUUUUCGAAAACCUGCUACAGUUUAUGGGAAGAGCACUUGCAAGAAUCACUCGUCUGACCGCCAUCGCAGCAAAAUCGACCCGAGAACCUCCCUGCAUGCAACUCCCCUACUGCCCUUGCCCCUUUCGGGUAAGGUAGUCUUCCACUAACUUUCCUAAUUAGUCAGCCAACGGUGUCCCAUUCCACCCUUGUGGUGGCACGUGUUUCUCAAGUUAAGCUCCAUGUUCCAAUUAACAUUAAUGAUCUUGACAUGAACAUAAAUAAAAUAGAAACAUAAUUGGAACAUGGAUAUAAUGAAAUAUUAACCCAAGACCAUAUAGAGCAAUAGCAAAACUAACCAAAUGAUUCAGGGGUGAACAAGGUAAAAAGAUAAUCAGUCUAGGGUGACCUAUUGGGUCCCAUCAAAAUUAAGUUGAUGCAUGAAUAAGUGAUAAUAAAGAACAUUAUUGGGUAAAUGAAAGUGAUCAAGGGCACAACUUGCCUGGCACUUUAGAUUCUAGGUACCAGGAUGAUUCUUCAAAUCCUCGUGACCUCACUGCUAGUCGUAGCAAUACAAACAAACAUGAUAUAGAUAAAAUUAACAUCACACCAAACAUAAGAACAAACUAAAUAAUAAUGAUCUACACGAAGCUAUGAGAUCGUGGGUUCGAGAAUUACUAAGAUCGAAGUUACGAUUAAGGAGUUAUGAUUUUAUAGAAGAUCUAUGUGAUUAAAAUAUUAAACUAUAUUAUAAAUUGGUUAGUAUAAAUCAUAUGAGAGAAUAUCUUAUAAAUAAUUAACUCACUUUGAUCUAUGUUAUAAAUUGACCAUAGAUCAUAUUUUAGUAAAUUAUAAUGAUAAGCAGAUUAACAAGACUAACCAACAUAAGUUAAAUAAAGAUCUAAUUAUAAAAGAAUGAGCCAUGGUAUAAUAAAUGUUGUUAAUGCGCAGUAAAUAUUUAUACGAGACUAACGCAACUCGAACGGUUCAAUUCAGAGUUAAAAUGGGGAAGUUAUGAAUUUCCUAAGGUUUUAUGUAUCUGAUAUAAGAUUAAUUAGGAAAUAAAUUUAAACAAUAAUAUUAUAAAAUUAUAGGAACGGGAAUGACUCAAUCUGGAAUUAGUAUGAAUUUUCUAUGGAUUAAACAAAUUCUAGCCAUUAUUUUUAUAUUAAAAAUAGAUUUCUAUUCUCUUUUCGUGGAUUUUUCUAUUUACUGGACUGGGCGCACGAUAUCUAGACAACCCAGGGGAUAACCCGCAAAAGUCUCAAGACAAAGUGCAUAGUAGCACGGGACUGUGGGUUUAAUCUCAAUAAAUCCAGGGCCUCUUUUAAAAGACUGCCAGGGCCGAAGGGGUAUCGGCAACUGUGGGCUGUCUGAUCCAACGCGAACUACACAAAUUAGACUUAACAUAAAAUGAACCGGUACGCGAUCUGGGCUGCUGGAUCAAUGAUCCACGAUUCACAUUCACCGCGCCCACGACCUAAUCACUACCAUUGGAUCCAACGCCAACGGCCUGGAUCACACCGAACGAAGGGACAUCCUAUCAUCUGAUCUAAGCCGUCCAAAGAAAAUCACACGGCAGCCAGGCGAUCACGCACUGACCGGACUAGAACCGCACAUCACCGAAUCAACGUCUCUGAUCAAUUCACGUGAAGGGGUAUCUUCCGUUUCUAAUCAGAGCCGUAAACCGCACAACCGACGGACACGAUCUGCCUAACCCUAUCCUCAUCGCGACCCGGCGGCGCUGUUCACCGAACACGGCGGCCCCUCGCCGGCGUAAGGUGUCCUUCCACCAUACUGUGGUAAACUCAUCGAGGAGCGGUGCUAAACACAGGUGGGGGAAAUGCGAACUUCAUGAAGAACAUCUCACCAAUGAUAAUGGCGUAGAGAACCCCGACGACGUGAUGCGUGGCUCCACGGCAGGGAUGACUCGGCGGCGAGCAAUCCCCCCCACAACGUGGCUCCCCGCGUCCGAUUCUCCCCCGGGACACGAUCCACACCACCGUCGAGGUGUCCGGGAGCGCACCACGAGUGCUAAGCGGGGACGGCGGCGGCAGACGGCUAUGGUGGCGCUCCCAUAUCUAAAGGCAUGCUCACGAGGCGUGUAUUCUAGGGCGAGGACGAAGCGGACGGGACUGAGGAUCGAUGCGGGUUAAUAUGAUGGCUGAGCGCGGACUCAAGGGGUUGAGGUUGGGAACGGAUUCCCGACGCAUGCGAGGAGGCCGAUUUGGCGGCGUGGAUUCGACCUUUGCGGAGGUGGAAGACGACCCGUGGGUCCCGCAU